UCUCUCUCUCUCUGAAAC
rnacentral:miRNA from 1 species